AGACUGGGCCGGGAGCUCCGGCUGCGCGGGCUCUCGGCGGCCGCGGCGACAGCAUCCUCCACCGCCUCCUCUCUUUCUUUUCUUCCCCUCCGCUUCUUUCUUUUCUUUCUCCUUCUCCUCCUUAUUUUCCUGCCCUGUCCCACCCCCACCCACCCCCCUGCUCCUUCUCCAGAGGACCUUAGGUCCUCAAGUCCCUGAGCGGUGGCAGCGGCGACUGCGGGUGCAUCGUUUCCGCGCCCAGAUUUUAUUGAUCUGAUCCAACCUGUCUUGUGACUGCUAGCUGGAAUUAAGAUCCUUCAGAUUGUUGUCUCUAAUCGAGGAAACAUUGAUUGGAAACUACUCAUUCAGAAAAUUAAAAGAAAGAAACCAGAACAUAUUAUCAACCUUUGAGAACACAAUAUAACGAACUUUACCAUUUUACCACUUCUUUGAACAGGAAACAUCCCAGGACAUUGAAGAAUGGCAGAUGAUCGGAAAGAUGAAGCAAAGGCGCCUCACUGGACCUCAGCUCAACUUACAGAGGCAUCCGCCCAACCACACCCACCGGAGAUCAAGGAUCAAGGUGGGGCAGGGGAAGGACUUGUCAGAAGCGCCAAUGGAUUCCCCUACAGAGAGGAUGAAGAGGGCGCCUUUGGAGAACAUGGGUCCCAGGGCACCUACUCAAAUACCAAAGAGAACGGAAUCAACGGAGAACUGACCUCAACUGACAGAGAAACAGCAGAGGAGGUGUCUGCAAGGAUAGUUCAAGUAGUCACGGCGGAAGCUGUAGCAGUCCUGAAAGGUGAACAAGAGAAAGAAGCUCAGCCUAAAGAUCAACCUCCUGCUCUGCCUUUAGCAGCUGAAGAGACAGCUAAUCUGCCUCCUUCUCCACCCCCAUCACCAGCCUCAGAACAGACUGUCCCAGUGGAGGAAGCAGCAGGUGCUGAAUCAGCUCAGGCUCCCAGUGUAUUUAAACAGGCAAAGGACAAAGUCUCUAAUUCUACCUUGUCAAAGAUUCCUGCCUUACAGGGUAGCACAAAGUCCCCAAGAUGCAGCUCAGCCUGCCCUAGCGCGACUAAAAGGGCUACAUUUUCUGACAGUUUAUUCAUACAGCCCACCUCAGCGGGCUCCACAGACCGCUUACCAUACUCAGAAUCAGGGAACAAGGAUGGAGUUACCAAGAGCCCAGAGAAGCGCUCUUCUCUGCCGAGACCUUCCUCCAUCCUUCCUCCUCGCCGAGGUGUCUCAGGAGACAGAGAUGAGAACUCCUUCUCUCUCAACAGUUCUAUCUCUUCUGCGCGGCGGACCACUCGGUCAGAGCCAAUUCGCAGAGCAGGAAAAAGUGGCACUUCCACACCCACUACCCCUGGAUCAACCGCCAUCACUCCUGGCACCCCACCAAGCUAUUCUUCACGCACCCCGGGCACUCCUGGAACCCCCAGCUACCCCAGGACCCCUCACACACCAGGAACCCCCAAGUCGGCCAUCUUGGUUCCCAGUGAGAAGAAAGUCGCCAUUAUACGCACGCCUCCGAAAUCUCCUGCUACUCCCAAACAGCUUCGGCUUAUCAACCAACCACUGCCAGACCUGAAGAAUGUCAAAUCCAAAAUUGGAUCCACAGACAACAUCAAAUACCAGCCUAAAGGGGGCCAGGUUAGGAUUUUAAACAAGAAGAUCGAUUUUAGCAAGGUUCAGUCCAGAUGUGGUUCCAAGGAUAACAUCAAACAUUCUGCUGGGGGCGGAAAUGUACAGAUUGUCACCAAGAAGAUAGACCUAAGCCAUGUGACAUCCAAAUGUGGCUCUCUGAAGAACAUCCGCCACAGGCCAGGUGGUGGGCGUGUGAAAAUUGAAAGUGUGAAGCUAGAUUUCAAAGAAAAGGCCCAAGCUAAAGUCGGUUCGCUUGACAAUGCUCACCACGUUCCCGGAGGUGGUAAUGUCAAGAUUGACAGCCAAAAGUUGAACUUCAGAGAGCAUGCUAAGGCCCGUGUGGACCAUGGGGCUGAGAUCAUUACACAGUCCCCAGGCAGAUCCAGCGUGGCUUCCCCCCGACGACUCAGCAACGUCUCCUCUUCUGGAAGCAUCAACCUGCUUGAAUCCCCCCAGCUUGCCACCCUGGCCGAGGAUGUCACUGCCGCACUCGCUAAACAGGGCUUGUGAAUAUCUCUCAUUUAGUAUUGAUGUCAUACUAUUUAGGCAUGAGCUCUGGCAGGAGUGGGCUCUGAGCAGGUGUUAUAUUCAUUCUUUACAAACCGUAAAAUAAAUAAUCUCAUUCCCAAACUGUAGUAAUUGUUACAAUUUUAUAAAAAAAAAUAGUAUAUGCAGAAAUUGAUUUGAUUUCCAUUUGCAACAGGAAGAUACUGGCUUUACAUGAGUACAAUUGGACAAUUUUUUUUUCGCUCUGCUGUUUUGCAUGGAGUAUCAUUAUUUUAAAAAUUGCAUUUCUACCUUUCAUGUGCCUGAAGGCUAUCUACUACAUUCUGAAAGGCCUUGUUAAAAUCCAAGCUGCUCAUUUCACUAUUCUGUUGCUGGGUGAAAAGAUAAAAAGUUGCCCCUUGUAACUUAUUACAGGUUAAAUUAAAUCAAGGAGUCAUUGCAGGAAGGGAAGAGCAUGUAAGAAAUGGUUUUUUUUUAAAGCGUUAUUUUGUAUAAAUGGGAAGAAAGAUUCAAUUAAGUUAUUAACGUUUGGGACCUGGAUAAUUAUAUCAGAGUAUAAGUCAAUCCAAUAAAUUAUUUAAUUAAUUAAAAAAUAGUUUCGAAGCAUUUGAGCUGUGGUUGAGGAAGUGAAAGUGCAUCUCUUAGGAAUGAAGCACUUUCAUUAGGAUGGACUUGUGUCUGGUUAGGAUGUCAGUUGAUCAGCUAGAUUUGUGUCCACACUACCAGUUUCACACCCUUUCCAUCUGUUUGAUACAGUAUUAUAGAUAUAAAUAUAUAUAUAUAUUUCUCUGUGGCCAUUUGUGAUACUUCCUCAUACUUGAAUAUUAUACUUCCUUAUUCACAGUAUCUGUGUCUCCUGCACCCUUUGGUGUUGCAAUUUUAGGUAUGUGAAAGUAGAUGUUAGCAGGGUUCUCUCCCUAUUAAAAAAAAAAAAGUUAAAAAAGACAAAAAGUUUUAGCAUGAAGUUGCUUUCUGUAACAACUCAAAACUGUAACCCUGUUUUAGUGCCAGAUACAAGUUUCUCCCAUUAAAGUUUCUCCCGUGAUGCUAGAAAAAAUUUAUUUUUCUUUGCUUUCACCAACAUGGAGUUUGUUGGGGGUGGGUCCAGUUAUACAUAAAAGGGGUUUACAGAUUGUUGGUUUAAGAUUAUGGGUUUGUCUUAUUUUGAAUCACAGAAUAUUUUGGGGUUUACUCCUAUAAUCAUUCAUGGAAUAGACUUAUUAAGAUUUCUUUUUCUUUUUUUUCCAUUUGCUAAAGUUGAAACUAACAGUGGGAGUUUGGGACAUGAUAUUCCAUUCUUCCAAGCAGUACCUGUUUAUUCAGUUAUCUGAUAGAAAAUGUUUGGCCUCCAUACCCGAAGUAAGAUCCCUUGAUCAGAAAGGGAAAAUACAGUAUUUUGAGAAGCUACAAAAUAUUGGAGAUGCAGAUAUCUAAAUCAGUUUUUUCAUGAUUCCAACAUUGCACUCUAUAAAGGAAUACUGUUUUACUAUUAUUUAUCAGUAGCUAAUACGGUUCUGACUUUAUAUACAGUCUAGACAUCACAAAUCAACUAAUUCUUCUUUAAGAAUCAUUCAUCUUAAAUUUAUGAAGAAGCAAUGAAAUAGUCAUUAUUAGUCUGAGUAGGGCAAUGGGUUACUAUGAUGAAUGGAUGCUUUUUAGUAUUUAUCUGUUCUUUUUCUUGCUCAGGGCUGGUAGGCUGGAUCUGAAAAGUUAAAGGCAAAUGUUUCAAUAGGGUUUGAUCCCUUUGAGUCAAAUCAGUUCUCAAGCAUAAAGGAGGAAAUGAUGAACAUGGACUGAGGCAAUAAGCUAGUAUAGUAGCAUCUAAGAACGAAGCUGAAGGAUGGAAAGGCAGAGAGACACGGGUGCCGUGUUGUGACCCAUUGGAAGUUACAGCCAACGUGACUUCCGUGAAAGAAACUCUGUGAGCAAAAGUGCACCAUUCACUGUCAACUAAGAGAUUUUACGGAGGCAAACAUUUCUGAAACUAUAGCUCAGUUAUUUAGGAUAGUCAAAGAUUUAGAAAGGACUGAUUAGGACUAUGGGUGUGUCUAUUUUCUGUCUAAUUAUUGCUGUGAGGUUUGAUUUGACCAAUCUGGGCAUUUUAUUCAUCAGCUUCCUUUGAAAUGCACCAGGAAAUAGGAAAAGAAAGAAUAGCUGUGUGGGGACUUAAUGGUAUUUUCUUAUGUGUUAGGUAGUGUUAGGUAGUGAUUAAAGCUCUAGAAAGAAAUUAACAGCUGGUUAGAACAAUUUUAACCUGUGAAACAUGUAUUUUUUUCAACUUGGUUUAAAAUUUUUAUAAACACUAAGUAACCAUGUUCUACAUAUUAAAAUUGUUUUUUUACAAAUACAUGUCUAAAAUAAAGAUUAUAUAAGGUACCCAGUGAUUAGAUUUGGCAUUAAAACAAAUGUUUGCUUCAAAUCACAGCAAAAUUACAAUGACUAAAUACCCUCACUUUGUAUGGAAAUUAAUAAUUCUAUAAAAUGAAAUUGAAAAUUGGUAGCAGUAAAAGAAAGAAAUACAGGCUAACUGUCUUCUUUGGGGGAUAAGGGGUGGAACCCAUCUUACCUUUACUCUCAAGAUUAACGACACAAAUUAAGCUUUUUGAACACCACUCUUGUGGGGACAUCCAUACGCUGAUCUAGAAAUUAAGGCUUCAUAGUCUCAAUUCUAGAUCAAUUAAUGCCAGUUUCUCUCUGGCUUUUGCCUUGGAGAACCUGUUUAAGGAAACAUAAGUAAUCCAGAGCUAUGAAGAGUUAAAAGGCCCACUCACUCUCUCUGGGUCACCUGCAACCAAUAAUUGGGUACCUUUCAAUGAUGCAGGAGAGAUCCGAGUUCAUGAUGAGUUUCAAAGGCCAUGUUCAUUUAGGAACCAACUCUCUCUGGAUUCUCCUGCUGAGUUCCAGCAGGGUGAUGGGCUGAAAUCCCACCCACAAGCAAGACACCUGUGGAUCACCAACGAGGUAUAGCUGAAGAAGGCUGAAGUGAGAACUUGGUUAAAUGGAAGAAAGUACUGACAGUAGCUGGCCUUCUCCACAUACUCACAUAGUUUUAGAGCAGGAAAUGGGAUCAUCAGGCAAAAUAAGAGAUCAAGUCACUAUUAAAGAAAUCAUCUCAAUGUGGUUGAUUUUUGACAUAGCUGCAAUUAUAGCAUUUUCUCCUAUUUUUUACACUAUGAAAAGGAGGAAAACAAACCAUUCAUGGUCUAAGUAGCUAGAAAAGGUAGAUUCAUGGUUUGAAAAGGCAAAUUCUAGGCAUUCUUUCCAAGAUUAAUAUGUUAAAUCAGUAUUGAUGUUUGUUUUUUUAAACCUAGGGUUUUUAGCCUGGGUAUGUAGGUUGAGGCCAAGUCCCUCUGCAGGAAAAAGCUUAUUUUUAAACUCAGAAAAUGUCAAUCAUGAUACUUCAACUUUAGCAAAAAGAAAAAAAUCAACAAAAAGUAUACUCUGUAUGCUGGGAUUCCAAGGUUCCAACAUGCCGCUACAAAUCUGUGGGGGGUUUCUUUCUUCUGAUAAUUCUAGAGCCUGUUACCAUAGAAAGGCAUUUCUUCAAUGGCUGGUUGUAGUUAGUUCAUGUUUUUCAAUCAAAAUUUGCAAAUGUAUUUGUUGCUGUAUAGUGAUUGUUUUGCAAAAUAAAAUUGCUUGUCACCU
rnacentral:lncRNA from 1 species